UACGUAGGGGCAAGCGUUGUCCGGAUUUAUUGGGCGUAAAGAGCGUGUAGGCGGCCAGACAGGUCCGUUGUUGAAAACUCGAGGCUACAACCUCGAGACGCCGAUGGAAACCGUCUGGCUAGAGUCCGGAAGAGGAGAGUGGAAUUCCCGGUGUAGCGGUGAAAUGCGUAGAGAUCGGCAGGAACACCCAGGGGGAAACCAGUCGACUGGGCAUCUACUGACGCUGAGGUGCGAGAGCGUGGGG
rnacentral:rRNA from 1 species